rnacentral:rRNA from 1 species
AACGAACGCUGGCGGCAUGCCUAACACAUGCAAGUCGAACGAGACCUUCGGGUCUAGUGGCGCACGGGUGCGUAACGCGUGGGAACCGGCCCUUAGGUUCGGAAUACCUCCCCGAAGGGGGUGCUAAUACCGGAAAAUGUCUUCGGACCAAAGAUUUAUCGCCUUUGGAUGGGCCCGCGUUGGAUUAGCUAGUUGGUAGGGUAAAAGCCUACCAAGGCGACGAUCCAUAGCUGGUCUGAGAGGAUGAUCAGCCACACUGGGACUGAGACACGGCCCAGACUCCUACGGGAGGCAGCAGUGGGGAAUAUUGGACAAUGGGCGAAAGCCUGAUCCAGCAAUGCCGCGUGAGUGAUGAAGGCCUUAGGGUUGUAAAGCUCUUUUACCCGGGAUGAUAAUGACAGUACCGGGAGAAUAAGCUCCGGCUAACUCCGUG